CACGGUAAACGAUGGAUGCCCGCUGUUUGCCCUUCGGGGUGAGUGGCUAAGCGAAAGCGUUAAGCAUCCCACCUGGGGAGUACGCCGGCAACGGUGAAACUCAAAGGAAUUGACGGGGGCCCGCACAAGCGGAGGAACAUGUGGUUUAAUUCGAUGAUACGCGAGGAACCUUACCCGGGCUUGAAUUGCAGAUGACGGAUCUAGAGAUAGUGACUUCCUUCGGGACAUCUGUGAAGGUGCUGCAUGGUUGUCGUCAGCUCGUGCCGUGAGGUGUCGGCUUAAGUGCCAUAACGAGCGCAACCCUUCUCUUCAGUUGCCAUCAGGUUAAGCUGGGCACUCUGGAGACACUGCCACCGUAAGGUGUGAGGAAGGUGGGGAUGACGUCAAAUCAGCACGGCCCUUACGUCCGGGGCUACACACGUGUUACAAUGGCCGGUACAGAAAGUCGGAUGCCCGUAAGGUCAUUCUAAUCAAGAAAGCCGGUCCCAGUUCGGACUGAGGUCUGCAACCCGACC
rnacentral:rRNA from 1 species